AUGACACCCCGAUAGAAGUUCAACGACCGAUUAUGUAUUUUACUCAUUUCUAGCAUAUUUGAAGCGAGCCCGUUUUUCCUCGCUUGCCCUCUCCUCCCUCUCGACCCCGACCCUGCCCAUCUUCGUGCGCCGCCCUGUCUCUCGCCGCCGACGCCGCCUCCUGCCCUCUCCCUGCGCCGCCGCCACUGCUCCGGCCCUCCUCUCCCUGACCUCGACCUCCUCCUCUCCGCGCGCCGCCUGCCUGUCUCGCCGCCGACGCCUCCUCCUGCCCUGUCCCUGCGCGCUCCGGCCCUCCUCUCCCUGCGCCGCCGCCACUGCUCCGCCCUUGCCCUCUCCCUGCGUCGCCACUGCUCCGCAGCCGACGCCGCCCCUGCCCCCUUCCGCCGCCGCCGCCGCCGCACCUCCCUCCCGCCGUCGCCCCUGCUCUCCCCCGCCUGCCUCCAGAUCCGCCGUGACCUUCACUCCCGUGACGUCGCCGGCCUCCGGAUCCGCGCCAUCCUGCCCUCCCCCUGCCUCCUGAGCCGCGCCGGCGCCCCUGCAGUUCACCUGACGCCGGCUACCUCUCCUUGCUGUGCGCCUGGCUCCCCUUUUGGCAGCUGAAUAUACCAUGGAGGUCAGACCGAUGGUAGCUCUACGUGCUGCUCUAGUUGGUGGGAUAGCAGCAUUUGCGAAGAUUGGUGGGGCGAUGAAAGCUGCAGGAGGUGUCAAAAUUGGUGCAGCUGCUGCGGCUGUGACAGCGGCAGCAUCAGCUGCCAUAUCCGGAAAAGACACAAGCAAAGACACUUCGAAGGCAGAAACAAAAUGAUAUAAAUCAUGGAUUUGUGGAGAAGUAUGAAAUUGCUUCUCCAGAGGUCUAGAAGUGAAAGGAUGGCCGCAGCCAAUAAACUACAGGAGCAGUUUUUCAUGCUCCAUGUUUUUUUCAAUCUUGGGAAUAAGAAUGACAGUGUUGAGUUUUCCCCAAAUUAUGGUACCCCCCAUGCAAUAGUUUUGUUUGCUCAAUGUCAUGAGCUACCUGUUACUCACACUGUAUGCCUAACCUGAUUUCUGCUGCCAUAUUGUGAGGGCAAUGCAUCGACUAUGAUCUGUUUGCACUAUGCAGGUGGAUCCUGAAGCUCUUUUGCAGUUUCCAAGUGUAAGAUCCUAGUUAUUUACAUCA